ensembl:snRNA U6 U6 spliceosomal RNA
GUGCUUCCUUCAGUAGCACAUAUAGUAAAUUGGAACCAUGCCAAGAAGAUUAGCAUACCCCGUGCAAGGGUGACAUGCAAAUUCAUGAAGCAUUCAUAUUUUUG